rnacentral:rRNA from 1 species
CGAGUGGCGAACGGGUGAGUAACAUAUCGGAACGUACCGAGUAAUGGGGGAUAACUAAUCGAAAGAUUAGCUAAUACCGCAUAUUCUCUGAGGAGGAAAGCAGGGGACCUUCGGGCCUUGCGUUAUUCGAGCGGCCGAUAUCUGAUUAGCUAGUUGGUGGGGUAAAGGCCUACCAAGGCGACGAUCAGUAGCGGGUCUGAGAGGAUGAUCCGCCACACUGGGACUGAGACACGGCCCAG